rnacentral:misc_RNA from 1 species
AACCUAGUAGAAAAGGUGACUUGAUCAAGGUUGCAUGGAGCUCGCCAUGGAUGGCUAUGGAGUUCUUUCAAUGGUGAGUGUUUCAGCUGGUUUUUUGUGAAGGUUGAAGAUGAUCAAUUUCUGCCCACUAAGACUUAUUUUAUGUCUCUCAUAAUGUAGUUAGUGGAGCACUAAACUUUGGUUAAUGAUUUAAUAAUCCAAAGUUUCUAAUUUUGAAAUUUUGUCACCAUUCUUCCACUAUUUAUAUUAUGUACCACAAUUUAAUUUUUUUAUGACAUUUUCAAAGUUUA